CAGUACGACCGUACCGCAAACCGACACUGGUGCGCGAGAUGAGUAUUCUAAGGCGCUUGAGAGAACUCGGGAGAAGGAACUCGGCAAAUUGACACCGUAACUUCGGAAGAAGGCGUGCCCUAUUAGUGUGUAGUGAACAACGAAGCAUGAAUGGGUUGCAAAAAAUCGGUGGCUGCGACUGUUUAUUAAAAACACAGCACUCUGCAAACACGAAAGUGGACGUAUAGGGUGUGACGCCUGCCCGGUGCUGGAAGAUUAAAUGAUGGGGUGCAAGCUCUUGAUUGAAGUCCCAGUAAACGGCGGCCGUAACAAUAACGGUCCUAAGGUAGCGAAAUUCCUUGUCGGGUAAGUUCCGACCUGCACGAAUGGCGUAACGAUGGCCACACUGUCUCCUCCUGAGACUCAGCGAAGUUGAAAUGUUUGUGAUGAUGCAAUCUCCCCGCGGAAAGACGGAAAGACCCCAUGAACCUUUACUGUAGCUUUGUAUUGGACUUUGAACAGAUCUGUGUAGGAUAGGUGGGAGGCUUUGAAGCAGGGUCGCUAGAUCUUGUGGAGCCAACGUUGAAAUACCACCCUGGUGUGUUUGAGGUUCUAACCUAGGUCCAUUAUCUGGAUCGGGGACAGUGCAUGGUAGGCAGUUUGACUGGGGCGGUCUCCUCCCAAAGCGUAACGGAGGAGUUCGAAGGUACGCUAGUUACGGUCGGACAUCGUGACGAUAGUGCAAUGGCAUAAGCGUGCUUAACUGCGAGACUGACAAGUCGAGCAGAUGCGAAAGCAGGACAUAGUGAUCCGGUGGUUCUGUAUGGAAGGGCCAUCGCUCAACGGAUAAAAGGUACUCUGGGGAUAACAGGCUGAUACCGCCCAAGAGUUCAUAUCGACGGCGGUGUUUGGCACCUCGAUGUCGGCUCAUCUCAUCCUGGGCUGUAGCCGGUCCCAAGGGUAUGGCUGUUCGCCAUUUAAAGAGGUACGUGAGCUGGGUUUAAAACGUCGUGAGACAGUUUGGUCCCUAUCUUCCGUGGGCGCUGCAGAUUUGAGGAAGCCUGCUCCUAGUACGAGAGGACCGGAGUGGACACACCUCUGGUGUAUCGGUUGUCACGCCAGUGGCAUUGCCGAGUAGCUAAGUGUGGAAGAGAUAACCGCUGAAAGCAUCUAAGCGGGAAACUCGUUUCAAGAUGAGAUCUGCCGGGGCCUUGAGCCCCCUAAAGAGUCGUUCAAGACCAGGACGUUGAUAGGUCAGGUGUGGAAGCG
rnacentral:rRNA from 1 species